GACGAACGCUGGCGGCGUGCUUAACACAUGCAAGUCGAACGGUGAAGCGCCUUCCUUUUUGGUGGGUGUGGAUGAGUGGCGAACGGGUGAGUAACACGUGAGUAACCUGCCCCCUUCUUCUGGAUAACCGCAUGAAAGUGUGGCUAAUACGGGAUAUUCUGGGUCUGUCGCAUGAUGGGUCUGGGAAAGAUAUUGUUUCGGUGGGGGAUGGGCUCGCGGCCUAUCAGCUUGUUGGUGGGGUGAUGGCCUACCAAGGCGGGGACGGGUAGCCGGCCUGAGAGGGUGGGCGGUCAGAGUGGGACUGGGGCCCGGCCCAGACUCCUACGGGAGGCAGCCGUGGGGAAUAUUGCACAAUGGGCGCAAGCCUGAUGCAGCGACGCCGCGUGAGGGAUGGAGGCCUUCGGGUUGUGAACCUCUUUCGCCAGUGAAGCAUGCCUGCCUCGUUUGUGGGUGGGUUGACGGUAGCUGGAUAAGAAGCGCCGGCUAACUACGUG
rnacentral:rRNA from 1 species